AAGGAAUUCUGCUUGGCUUGACCUUGCUGGUCAUGGGAAUGAUUCUCCUGAGAUUUCAGAUGCAUUUCAAUCCACAAAUCAGGGCAAAGACACUCCAGGUUUUAUAACUUGAGCACCUCAGGUCUUUCUUCAUCAGCAGAGGUGAAUCAGCCCCUCAGAGAAGUGAAGGAGCUGAAUUCCAACUUCUGUUUCCACGUAAGCUUUGUACAAUUCAUGGUGCCAUAUCAGCGCAGUACAAGGUGGGAUGAUUCCUGUGAUUCCCCCCAGGGCCCAUUUACUCUGGAUUCUGUUUGCAAAUACAUGGUUUUGUUCCAGCAAUGCUUUUUGCUUCAAGCUUCCUUAAUACAGUGGGAUAUUUACCUGUGUUUACCUGUGCUAUUUGACUGGUUAAAAAAAAAAAUAUUUGUGUGAUAUAUAUAGAUAUAUAUAUAUGUAUAUGAAAAAUUAUAGCAAAGGAGAUGAAUAGGGGAUAGCCUGAAGCUCCAGGGGCUGGCUUGCUCUCACAGCAGCAUUCAGCUUGUUAGAAAAACUGCUCUGCAAAGGCAGGAGCUGCAAAGCUGCAGGUCUGUGGUGGCAUCUGGGAGAGGAGAGAAACACAGGGGAGCAGAUUCUCCUUCUGCAGCUGCUUCCAGUGGAGAUAUUCCCCACAUCCUCACCCUUCUGAAGUGAAUCCCAAAUGUUUUGGAUGCAGGUAUUCUGUGUGCAUAUUAAAGCACUGUUAGAGGAUGUUGGUUACCUGCAGUGACGGGGGGGGAGGGGUGUUAGAGCUUUCAAUAAUUUCUGCAUUGUCUGUUGAUGUUUUAAUAGGCUCCAGGCUGGAAGUGUAAUCCAUAAAACUGUGUGUCAGGUGGUUGAUGAAUAUAAAUUGCUGAGCACCCUAGGCCUGUGAGGCUGGAGGAUGCACAAGGGAGAUGGGGCUGUCUUCUGUGUCGGGGAGCUGGAGUGUGAAAUUCAGCAUGCGGCUUUGCAGCCUUGUCAUUCCGUGUUUCCUGGAGUUCCACUGCUGCAGACACGGCCAGUUUAUGGAGAUGCACAAAGAGCUUUUCUAGGUAGGAGAGCGAUGGAGGAAUCAAGUCCGUGGGCAGGUCCACACCUUUGCAGUCACACUAAAAGGAUGAACUGGAAGCACAAAAAGAGAAAUAAAGACAGUGUAAGAAAUGUUGUCUGACAGGGAAAUUCCUGUCCCAUGAACAUGGAGUUAUGUAAAAGAAACCCCAAACUAAGCCUUAUUUCAGUACAAUAAAAUCAGCCAUGUGGUCA
rnacentral:lncRNA from 1 species